rnacentral:rRNA from 1 species
CAGCCCUUGGCAUUUGGUGCUACUUCCAGAGAUGGAAGGUUCCCUUCGGGGACGCCAGGACAGGUGCUGCAUGGCUGUCGUCAGCUCGUGUCGUGAGAUGUUGGGUUAAGUCCCGCAACGAGCGCAACCCUCGCCCUUAGUUGCCAGCAUUCAGUUGGGCACUCUAGGGGGACUGCCGGUGAUAAGCCGAGAGGAAGGUGGGGAUGACGUCAAGUCCUCAUGGCCCUUACGGGCUGGGCUACACACGUGCUACAAUGGCGGUGACAGUGGGCAGCGAACUCGCGAGAGGGAGCUAAUCUCCAAAAGCCGUCUCAGUUCGGAUUGUUCUCUGCAACUCGAGAGCAUGAAGUUGGAAUCGCUAGUAAUCGCGUAACAGCAUGACGCGGUGAAUACGUUCCC